AGUACGUUUCUCAGGGUUGAUGAGUGGUAUAACUCGGAAAUAAUCUUCCUUCACUCCGACCCGAGGUUUGAUCAGGUCUGCGUUUUUUCCUCCCAUGACACCCUUUCAUCAUUCGGUGUUGUUUGGUGGGGGGGGGGCCCCUGUCCCACUGCCGCCCCCGCCCGCGGACCCCCCCACUCUGUGUCUAUAAUGUCUCUUUUGUGUGGGGAAGCAAAUAAAUUAAAACUUUCAACAACGGAAACCCCUGCUCCGGCAUCGAUGAAGAACGCAGCGAAAUGAGAUAAGUAAUGUGAAUGGCAGACUUCAGUGAAUCAUGGAAUCUUUGAAAGCACAUGGCGCCCGCCAGUAUUAUGGCGGGCAUGCCUGUUCGAGCGUCAUUACAACCCUCAGGCCCCCGGGCCUGGCGUUCGGAUGGGCGGAAGCCCCCUGCGGGCACAACGCCGUCCCCCAAAUACAGUGGCGGUCCCGCCGCAGCUUCCAUUGCGUAGUAGCUAACACCUCGCAACUGGAGAGCGGCGCGGCCACGCCGUAAAACACCCAACUUCUGAAUGUGACCUCGAAUCAGGUAGAGUACGAUCCGCC
rnacentral:rRNA from 1 species